UACGGAGGGUGCAAACGUUGCUCGGAAUCAUUGGGCGUAAAGCGUGUGUAGGCGGUCAGCACAAGUCAGUUGUGAAAUCUCCGAGCUUAACUCGGAAAGGUCAACUGAUACUGUGCGACUAGAGUGCAGAAGGGGCAACUGGAAUUCUUGGUGUAGCGGUGAAAUGCGUAGAUAUCAAGAGGAACACCUGCGGCGAAGGCGGGUUGCUGGGCUGACACUGACGCUGAAGCGCGAAAGCCAGGGGAGCGAACGGG
rnacentral:rRNA from 1 species